rnacentral:rRNA from 1 species
UACGUAGGGGCCUAGCGUUGUCCGGAUUUAUUGGGCGUAAAGAGCUCGUAGGCGGUUCGGUAAGUCAGGUGUGAAAUCUCCACGCUCAACGUGGAGGCGCCACCUGAAACUGCCGUGACUCGAGUCCGGUAGGGGAGUGUGGAAUUCCGGGUGUAGCGGUGGAAUGCGUAGAGAUCCGGAAGAACACCGGAGGCGAAGGCAGCUCGCUGGAACGUUACUGACGCUGAGACGCGAAAGCGUGGGGAGCAAACAGG